rnacentral:tRNA from 1 species
GCCUGGGUGGCUAAGUCAGUUAAGCGUCUGAUUUCAGCUCAGGUCAUGAUCUCAGGGUCCUGGGAUCAAGCCCCAUUUCUGGCC